rnacentral:rRNA from 1 species
AGCGUAGACGGCGUAUCAAGUCUGAUGUGAAAGGCAGGGGCUUAACCCCUGGACUGCAUUGGAAACUGGUAUGCUUGAGUGCCGGAGGGGUAAGCGGGAUUCCUAGUGUAGCGGUGAAAUGCGUAGAUAUUAGGAGGAACACCAGUGGCGAAGGCGGCUUACUGGACGGUAACUGACGUUGAGGCUCGAAAGCGUGGGGAGCAAACA